rnacentral:lncRNA from 1 species
AUGGAAGCAUCAUGUUGGUUUAAAAAGAGAAAAGAAAGCAGGUGGAGUGCUAAAAAUAAACCAGGAAUGGAACCUGAGACUGUGUCUGUCCGGCUGCUACUGCUGCAACAAAGCUGGAGGGGCACCCAUGGCAUUCCCAUAGGAGCUGAGAAAGGAGUGACAGUUCCUGCUUACACCAUACACAAGAGAUCCAUACAGCAGGAUGGCAGGGAGAUUGCCAAGCAGAAACAAACCAGCAGCAUCCUCUCAGCUGGGAACGCAGCAUGGUCACGAGCCAUGUCAUGAGACAGGACAGUCUGGGAGCCACCCAGGAGGAGAAUGAGGUGCAGGCAUAUAAAGAAGCUGACUUCACCUGGCACCCACAGCUGAAGGAUGUCAUGGAAAGCAUGCCCAUUGCCACCAAUACUAAUUGGCCCCAUGCAAAUACAGGCUGAUUUUUGUUGUAUCUGUACAAUGUAUACCACAAUGCUGACCUUUUCCUUCAGCAGAGCUCCUCAACAGAGAUAAUGAAUCACAUUGAUUAGAGAAGAAAAAACACUUGU